rnacentral:rRNA from 1 species
CAUGAGUAGCGAUAAUUAAUGUGAGAAUCAUUAACGCCGUAAACCCAAGGUUUCCUACGCGAUGCUCGUCAUCGUAGGGUUAGUCGGGUCCUAAGUCGAGUCCGAAAGGGGUAGACGAUGGCAAAUUGGUUAAUAUUCCAAUACCAACAUUAGUGUGCGAUGGAAGGACGCUUAGGGCUAAGGGGGCUAGCGGAUGGAAGUGCUAGUCUAAGGUCGUAGGAGGUUAUACAGGCAAAUCCGUAUAACAAUACUCCGAGAACUGAAAGGCUUUUUGAAGUCUUCGGAUGGAUAGAAGAACCCCUGAUGCCGUCGAGCCAAGAAAAGUUUCUAAGUUUAGCUAAUGUUGCCCGUACCGUAAACCGACACAGGUGGGUGGGAUGAGUAUUCUAAGGCGCGUGGAAGAACUCUCUUUAAGGAACUCUGCAAAAUAGCACCGUAUCUUCGGUAUAAGGUGUGGUUAGCUUUGUAUUAGGAUUUACUCCGAAAGCAAGGAAACUUACAACAAAGAGUCCCUCCCGACUGUUUACCAAAAACACAGCACUCUGCUAACUCGUAAGAGGAUGUAUAGGGUGUGACGCCUGCCCGGUGCUCGAAGGUUAAUUGAUGGGGUUAGCAUUAGCGAAGCUCUUGAUCGAAGCCCGAGUAAACGGCGGCCGUAACUAUAACGGUCCUAAGGUAGCGAAAUUCCUUGUCGGUUAAAUACCGACCUGCAUGAAUGGCGUAACGAGAUGGGAGCUGUCUCAAAGAGGGAUCCAGUGAAAUUGUAGUGGAGGUGAAAAUUCCUCCUACCCGCGGCAAGACGGAAAGACCCCGUGGACCUUUACUACAGCUUGACACUGCUACUUGGAUAAGAAUGUGCAGGAUAGGUGGGAGGCUUUGAGUAUAUGACGCCAGUUGUAUAUGAGCCAUUGUUGAGAUACCACUCUUUCUUAUUUGGGUAGCUAACCAGCUUGAGUUAUCCUCAAGUGGGACAAUGUCUGGUGGGUAGUUUGACUGGGGCGGUCGCCUCCCAAAUAAUAACGGAGGCUUACAAAGGUUGGCUCAGAACGGUUGGAAAUCGUUCGUAGAGUAUAAAGGUAUAAGCCAGCUUAACUGCAAGACAUACAAGUCAAGCAGAGACGAAAGUCGGUCUUAGUGAUCCGGUGGUUCUGUGUGGAAGGGCCAUCGCUCAAAGGAUAAAAGGUACCCCGGGGAUAACAGGCUGAUCUCCCCCAAGAGCUCACAUCGACGGGGAGGUUUGGCACCUCGAUGUCGGCUCAUCGCAUCCUGGGGCUGGAGCAGGUCCCAAGGGUAUGGCUGUUCGCCAUUUAAAGCGGUACGCGAGCUGGGUUCAGAACGUCGUGAGACAGUUCGGUCCCUAUCUGCCGUGGGCGUAAGAAGAUUGAAGAGAUUUGACCCUAGUACGAGAGGACCGGGUUGAACAAACCACUGGUGUAGCUGUUGUUCUGCCAAGAGCAUCGCAGCGUAGCUAAGUUUGGAAAGGAUAAACGCUGAAAGCAUCUAAGCGUGAAGCCAACUCUAAGAUGAAUCUUCUCUAAGCUCUCUAGAAGACUACUAGUUUGAUAGGCUGGGUGUGUAAUGGAUGAAAGUCCUUUAGCUGACCAGUACUAAUAGAGCGUUUGGCUUAUCUUUAAUAAAGCAU